CAUGUUAAAUUAAGUAAUGGUAUAGGAUAAUAAAUGAAGUAUAGAGUGUCAAAAUGGUGAAGGUCAUAGUAUAGCAUGUCAAAAAUAUGAAAAAGAAGACAUUGUAUAGUGUGUCGAAAAAGUGAAACAAUAUAUCAUAGAAUAGCAUGAUGAAUUAAGUCAUUGUAUAGCGUGUCGAAAUGGUAAAAAAGUCAUAUUAUAGUGUAUCAAAAUGAUGAAAAAGGACAUAGUAUAGCAUGUUGAAUGAAGCCAUAGUAUAGUGUGUCCAAAUGGUGAAAAAGGUCAUAGUAUAGUCUGUCGAAAUGGUGAAAAAGGGCUAUAGUAUAGCAUGUUGAAUGAAGCCAUAGUAUAGUGUGUCGAAAUGGUGAAAAAGGGCUAUAGUAUAGCAUGUCGAAAACGUGAAACAAUAAAUCAUAGCAUAGCAUAUUGAAUUAAGUCAUGGUAUAGCAUGAUGAAUGAAGUCAUAGUAUAGUGUGUUGAAAUGGUGAAAAGGGCUAUAGUAUAGGAUGUCGAAAAAAGUGAAAAAAUAAAUCAUAGUAUAGCAUGUCAAAAUGGUGAAGAAUUAAGUAAUAGUAUAGCAUGUUGAAUGAAGCGUGUCGAAAUGGUGAAAAAUGUCAGAGUAUAGCAUGUUGAAUUAAGUCAUAGUAUAGCGUGUUGAAAUAGGUCAUAGUAUAGCGUGUCGAAAUGGUAAAAAAAAUGUCAUAUUAUAGCAUGUUGAAUGAAGUCAUAGUAUAGUGUAUCAAAAUGGUGGAAAAGGACAUAGUAUAGCAUGAUGAAUGGAGUCAUACUAUAGCAUGUCGAAAUGGUGAAUGAAGUCAUAGUAUAGCGUGUCAAAAUGGUGAAGAGGGUCAUAGUAUAGUGUGUCGAAAUGGUGAAAAAAGGUCAUAGUAUAGUCUGUCGAAAUGGUGAAAAAGGGCUAUAGUAUAGCAUGUUGAAUGAAGCCAUAGUAUAGUGUGUCGAAAUGGUGAAUAAGGUCAUAGUAUAGUCUGUCUGAAAUGGUGAAAUAGGGCUAUAUUAUAGCAUGUCGAAAAACGUGAAACAAUAAAUCAUAGCAUAGCAUAUUGAAUUAAGUCAUGGUACAGCAUGAUGAAUGAAGUCAUACUAUAGUGUGUUGAAAUGGUGAAAAGGGCUAUAGUAUAGGAUGUCGAAAAAAGUGAAAAAAUAAAUCAUAUAGCAUGUCAAAAAGGUGAAGAAUUAAGUAAUAGUAUAGCAUGUUGAAUGAAGUCAUAGUAUAGCAGGUUGAAUGAAGUCAUCGUAUAGCGUGUCGAAAUGGUUAAAAAGGUGAUAUUAUAGCAUGUUCAAUGAAGUCAUAGCAUAGUGUAUCAAAAUGGUGAAGAGGGUCAUAAUAUAGCAUGUUGAAUUAAGUCAUAGUGUAGCGUGUCAUAAAAGUGAAGAAUUAAGUAAUAGUGUUACAUAGUGUCGAAAUGGUGAAAGAGGUAAUAGUAUAGCAUGUCGAAAUUGUGAAAAAUAACUCAUAGUAUUGCAUGUUGAAUUAGGUCGUAGUAUAGCGUGUUGAAAUGGUGAAAUAAUAAAUAAUAAUUAAUAAUUCUUCCCUUGGGCCUGGAGCCGGCCUCCGAGGGAGCUCAGAACAACCUCCAAAAACAAGUGCAGGGCUCAUGUGGCCGUCCAUCCAGUGAAGGCCUCGCCGUCUCCCACUCCAGAUAACAGGCAGGGGGAGUCCAGUUCCUGAGUCGGCGAUUUAACGCAAUACAACGCCUCUGGGCUCAGCUUUUGAGCAAUUUGGAGUAAACACACAAAUACUCCCACGCUCAACUGGGAAGACUUUCCAUCUGAAUUGUUCCCAGAGCUCCUCCUUUUCCUUUUA
ensembl:lncRNA